UACGUAGGGUCCGAGCGUUGUCCGGAAUUACUGGGCGUAAAGAGCUCGUAGGUGGUUUGUCGCGUUGUUCGUGAAAACUCACAGCUCAACUGUGGGCGUGCGGGCGAUACGGGCAGACUUGAGUACUGCAGGGGAGACUGGAAUUCCUGGUGUAGCGGUGGAAUGCGCAGAUAUCAGGAGGAACACCGGUGGCGAAGGCGGGUCUCUGGGCAGUAACUGACGCUGAGGAGCGAAAGCGUGGGGAGCGAAUGGG
rnacentral:rRNA from 1 species